rnacentral:RNase_P_RNA from 1 species
CGCUCGUUUUAAAACUCCCGGAGAGGAAAGUCCGGACACCAUAGGGCAGGAUGCCGUGCGAGCUUCACCGCAAGCACGGGAGGCACGCGUUAAGGCGUGUCGACGGACAGUGUCACAGAGAAUAUACCGCCCGCCGUCGCCCCGUUCGCGGGGCUAUGGCGAGGUAAGGGUGAAAAGGUGGGGUAAGAGCCCACCGCGUCGGCUGUGAAGCCGGCGGCACGAUAAACCCCUUCCGGUGCAAGGCAAAAUAGGCGACUGGUCGGCUCGGCCUUUAGUCGCGGGUAUGUCGCACCCAGCCACCGCUCCGCCUCGGCGGAGCUACGGCGAGGCAGGUCUCAGCUUCGGUUGAGGCUUGAGAUAAAUGACGGUCGAAGUCCCGCAGCCGCGGGAUGGGACAAAAUCCGGCUUAUCGGCC